GGAACGGGCCUUUCAGGCAUCCUCUCCCAAACUUUCAAGCCCGGCUGGCAACGGCCGGGCUUUUCUUUUUGGUCA
rnacentral:sRNA from 1 species